UACAUCCAUUUGCUCGCUGUCUGCCUCGUCCUGGGUCCUCGACCCACACCCACGGCUGACGUUCCUGACUCUGAGGCCUCCGUCCACCCCGACUCAGGGGCCCAUGUGCUCAUGCUCGUGCUCCACCUCUGCCCAGCUCUCCACUCUCUGCCCCUUCCACCCAGUGAUUCUCACCCGAGGAUGCAUGGCCCCCAAGGCAGCCUAUCAGCAGCAUCUUUCGGGCGUGUUUUUGUGUUUUCUUUUUCCUUUGUUUUUGGUUUUGUUUUUGUUCGAGCAGAGCACUGCUCCCCCUCAGAUGUUCUGAUAGGCCUCCCUUGGGGGCCAUGCCCGCAGCCCCCCGCCUCGGGUGAAAUCCACCCCCCCACCCCCGAGAAGAAUCACUGUUGUGGAAGCCCCACCUGCCUCCCUGGGCUGCACUCUCCCCGUGGGCGCCUCUAGCCUUCCGUCGGUUGCCACUGACGCUUGCUUGUGCCUCAAAGACCCCAGCAUUGCCCCCACGCUGCCAUCAGCCCGGCGCUGUCCUCUUGGCACCAGCGCAGGCCCUCGCCUGAACGCUCACCGACACCCGACACGCCCGAACCCCAGUCUCCGGUAGAGCUCUCUUCUUGUCACGCCCCGCCCCGCCCCGCCCCGCCCCCCAUCAACACCGCUCUAGCCCCCAGCCUCUAGGACUCUCAGGCACUGUGACAGUCUCUUUCCUUGGUCCCAAUCUGCCCCUUCCCGGCCCUUGCCGCUGGCCCUCUCCCUAGGUUGUCCCUCCUCAGGUCAGACCCGC